rnacentral:rRNA from 1 species
CACGUAGGAGGCAAACGUUAUCCGGAUUUACUGGGCGUAAAGCGCGUGUAGGUGGUUCUGUAAGUAGGGCGUGAAAGCUCCCGGCUCAACUGGGAGAGGCCGUUCUAAACUGCAGAGCUAGAGGAUGGUAGAGGGAGGUGGAAUUCCAGGUGUAGCGGUGGAAUGCGCAGAUAUCUGGAGGAACACCGGUGGCGAAGGCGGCUUUCUGGCCAGUUACUGACGCUCAUGCGCGAAAGCUGGGGUAGCGAACCGGAUUAGAUACCCGUGUAGUCCCU